rnacentral:rRNA from 1 species
GACAGAGGGUGCAAACGUUGUUCGGAAUUACUGGGCGUAAAGCGCGUGUAGGCGGCUAUGUAAGUCGGGCGUGAAAUCCCACGGCUCAACCGUGGAAGUGCACCCGAAACUGCGUAGCUAGAGUCCUGGAGAGGAAGGUGGGAUGCUUGGUGUAGAGGUGAAAUUCGUAGAUAUCAAGCGGAACACCGGUGACGAAGGCGGCCUUCUGGACAGUGACUGACGCUGAGACGCGAAAGCGUGGGGAGCAAACGGG